UAAAAUGUCCAUACCACUCUGAACGUGCCCGAUCUCAGAAGCUAAGCAGGGUUGGGCUUGGUUAGUACUUGGAUGGGUUAUACAUUUUUGGAAGGCAAUUUGGUAAUAUCU
rnacentral:rRNA from 1 species